AACAAGAGGGGAACUAUGAAAUGUCAUUUUUGAUUUACAUUUGGAAAAACACCCUAUUUCUCAGUUGGUUAAGUGUUUUUUCUGAUUUUAUUUUGUAGAUCAGAAUAAGCUUAGCAUUCUUGUCAAGUUUUUUUUUUAAAGUAGCAAUAUAAAAACUUAAUUUAAGAGAUAUUUCAGUUCAGGAUACAGUGUUUUCACACAGGAGUCGACAAAAGGAUUCUUCAAUCACAUAUUCGCCUUCUGUCUCAUCUGUGUAUUCACAGUGCUGAUUAAUCAAGGAUUUCUUCAGGUCACAGUUAAGGGGGUUAUUGGUGGCUCCACUCUUCUGCCAUGUUCUUCAACUAAACAUGAUCUAAAACCACAGGAGGUGCACUGGAGAUACAACGACAAGGAGAAGGUGUUUGACAUUAUUAAUGGUGAAGAUUC